rnacentral:tRNA from 1 species
AGACUCAUAUGUUAAUGGCAAACGGCUUGACUCCAAAUCAAGCUAUCUGGGUUCGAUUCCUGGUGAGUCUG